GACGAACGCUGGCGGCGUGCUUAACACAUGCAAGUCGAACGGAAAGGCCCUGCUUUUGUGGGGUGCUCGAGUGGCGAACGGGUGAGUAACACGUGAGUAACCUGCCCUUGACUUUGGGAUAACUUCAGGAAACUGGGGCUAAUACCGGAUAGGAGCUCCUGCUGCAUGGUGGGGGUUGGAAAGUUUCGGCGGUUGGGGAUGGACUCGCGGCUUAUCAGCUUGUUGGUGGGGUAGUGGCUUACCAAGGCUUUGACGGGUAGCCGGCCUGAGAGGGUGACCGGCAAAAUUGGGACUGAGAUACGGCCCAGACUACUACGGGAGGCAGCAGUGGGGAAUAUUGCACAAUGGGCGGAAGCCUGAUGCAGCAACUCCGCGUGCGGGAUGACGGCCUUCGGGUUGUAAACCGCUUUCGCCUGUGACGAAGCGUGAGUGACGGUAAUGGGUAAAGAAGCACCGGCUAACUACGUG
rnacentral:rRNA from 1 species